UGUUUCCGCCCGACAUGAAUAAAAUAUAGAAUACAACGAAAGUUCUUACAACAGCCGAUACAGCACGAUGUGAGCUUUGAAUAAGUAUUUUUUAAAUGUGAUAUAAAUGUAUUUUAUUGUAUCUUUGCAAGAAGGGGGCUGUCAAACACGAACACGUUGACACAACAGGCCGGUGGAGCAUAGAACAUCUGCCUCGCAGCCAGGUGCUUCUGGGUUUGAAUCUGGGUUCAGACCUUUCUCUGGACACGUCUCCAUGCAUCCUCCCAGGCAGUAGGUUGCUAUGAUGGGAUUCCCAGUGAUGCAAUAUCAGCCAACCAUGACUCAACUCUCUG